UGGAUGAUGUGGAUUAAUUCGAUGCAACGCGAAAACCUUACCUACCCUUGACAUGUCCGGAAUCCCGAAGAGAUUUGGGAGUGCUCGCAAGAGAACCGGAACACAGGUGCUGCAUGGCUGUCGUCAGCUCGUGUCGUGAGAUGUUGGGUUAAGUCCCGCAACGAGCGCAACCCUUGUCAUUAGUUGCCAUCAUUUGGUUGGGCACUCUAAUGAGACUGCCGGUGACAAACCGGAGGAAGGUGGGGAUGACGUCAAGUCCUCAUGGCCCUUAUGGGUAGGGCUUCACACGUCAUACAAUGGUCGGUACAGAGGGUUGCCAACCCGCGAGGGGGAGCCAAUCCCAUAAAGCCAGUCGUAGUCCGGAUCGUAGUCUGCAGCUCGACUACGUGAAGUCGGAAUCGCUAGUAAUCGUGGAUCAGAAUGUCACGGUGAAUACGUUCCCGGGUCUU
rnacentral:rRNA from 1 species